rnacentral:rRNA from 1 species
UAAUGUAUGGGGAUCUGCCCGAUAGAGGGGGAUAACUACUGGAACGGUGGCUAAUACCGCAUAAUGUCUACGGACCAAAGCAGGGGCUCUUCGGACCUUGCACUAUCGGAUGAACCCAUAUGGGAUUAGCUAGUAGGUGGGGUAAAGGCUCACCUAGGCGACGAUCUCUAGCUGGUCUGAGAGGAUGAUCAGCCACACUGGGACUGAGACACGGCCCAG